rnacentral:rRNA from 1 species
CGCGUGGGGAUCUACCCAUUGGUACGGAAUAACCCAGGGAAACUUGGACUAAUACCGUAUAAGCCCUUCGGGGGAAAGAUUUAUCGCCAAUGGAUGAACCCGCGUCUGAUUAGCUAGUUGGUGAGGUAAAGGCUCACCAAGGCGACGAUCAGUAGCUGGUCUGAGAGGAUGAUCAGCCACACUGGGACUGAGACACGGCCCAGACUCCUACGGGAGGCAGCAGUGGGGAAUAUUGGACAAUGGGCGCAAGCCUGAUCCAGCCAUGCCGCGUGAGUGAUGAAGGCCUUAGGGUUGUAAAGCUCUUUCAGGGGGGAAGAUAAUGACUGUACCCCCAGAAGAAGCCCCGGCUAACUUCGUG